rnacentral:piRNA from 1 species
UGACCAUUAUAAGUGUCCAUGAAAGCCA